UCCUGACUCUUGGACCCUUGGCUUCCUGACCCCUGGACUGCUGAUUCCUGCUUCCCGACCUCUACCCCGGUCCCAACGUACCAAGCCGGGACUCCGACUGCCCGUAACCCGGACCAUGACAUGUGCGCUCUCCAGCCUGAAGUUUGAAAUGGUACCAGUUUAUCACCUUGAUGUCGCUGGUGCUCACAGCACUUCUCAAAAUUCCAGAUGUGCCCACUGGGCAAAAGGUUGGAGACCCAUGCUAUAGAAGGCAGGUGCCUAGGAUGAAUUACACUGAGAGGCUGGCCAAGUGGACCAUGUGAAGAUCACAAAAUUCAAGAAUGGGAACUGGCUCAAAGUGUUCAGGAAACCACAAAUGUCUCCCUCCUAUUUGCAGGAUGUGACUGCCGGGCCAGAGAAAGCAGCCAUUCCUGCAGAAUUAAUCUCUGAGCUCUUGCUGUUCACACCACGUCUGCCUUGCUACCCUUUGAAGAUGAUAAUAAAACUCAGCAGCAGGCUUAAAACUCCUGCAAAUGUAAAUAUCUACUAGCAGAGUUCUCUGAAUCGGAUGCCUUCCCCAUUCACAUCAGAGGGAAACAAAUGCAGUACAUUUCGAUCCUAUCCUUAGCUCAGAAAGGUAAAAUAAAACC